rnacentral:lncRNA from 1 species
GUCAUUUCUAACUACCACAUGUUCCAAAAUAUUUGACAUCAUCUAUUUACGCAAGGUACGGAUACAAGAAAGUGCUUUAUGCUGGAAGACCCCAACUCGAACUAAUUGGACAUAAUAACAGAAGCAGAUCACAGUGAGAUGAAACAACAUACCAAACAAUUUCAGUGUUUUUGCCAGCAGCUGAAGUGUCAUAUUGAAACAUCAAUUAUAGAAAUGCCUCCUUUAAUUGUUGAAUGUGACACAAAGUAUACAAUAGAAGGUCAAACAGAAUCAAUGAAUAGCUUGAAGAGCUUUAGGUUUAGUGACUUCAAUGAAUAGCUUGAAGAGCUUUAGGUUUAGUGACUUCAUGAUAUAUAUACAGCAAGCAAAUAACAUGAGCACAUAUCAACC